CAUGCAGCCGAGCGGUAGAGAUUCUUCGGAAUCUUGAGAGCGGCGUACGGGUGCGGAACACGUGUGCAACCUGCCUUUAUCUGGGGGAUAGCCUUUCGAAAGGAAGAUUAAUACCCCAUAAUAUACUGGAUGGCAUCAUUCGGUAUUGAAAACUCCGGUGGAUAGAGAUGGGCACGCGCAAGAUUAGAUAGUUGGUGAGGUAACGGCUCACCAAGUCUACGAUCUUUAGGGGGCCUGAGAGGGUGAUCCCCCACACUGGUACUGAGACACGGACCAGACUCCUACGGGAGGCAGCAGUGAGGAAUAUUGGACAAUGGGUGAGAGCCUGAUCCAGCCAUCCCGCGUGAAGGACGACGGCCCUAUGGGUUGUAAACUUCUUUUGUAUAGGGAUAAACCUAGAUACGUGUAUCUAGCUGAAGGUACUAUACGAAUAAGCACCGGCUAACUCCGUGCCAGCAGCCGCGGUAAUACGGAGGGUGCAAGCGUUAUCCGGAUUUAUUGGGUUUAAAGGGUCCGUAGGCGGAUCUGUAAGUCAGUGGUGAAAUCUCACAGCUUAACUGUGAAACUGCCAUUGAUACUGCAGGUCUUGAGUGUUGUUGAAGUAGCUGGAAUAAGUAGUGUAGCGGUGAAAUGCAUAGAUAUUACUUAGAACACCAAUUGCGAAGGCAGGUUACUAAGCAACAACUGACGCUGAUGGACGAAAGCGUGGGGAGCGAACAGGAUUAGAUACCCUGGUAGUCCACGCCGUAAACGAUGCUAACUCGUUUUUGGAGCGCAAGCUUCAGAGACUAAGCGAAAGUGAUAAGUUAGCCACCUGGGGAGUACGAACGCAAGUUUGAAACUCAAAGGAAUUGACGGGGGCCCGCACAAGCGGUGGAUUAUGUGGUUUAAUUCGAUGAUACGCGAGGAACCUUACCAAGGCUUAAAUGGGAAAUGACAGGUUUAGAAAUAGACUUUUCUUCGGACAUUUUUCAAGGUGCUGCAUGGUUGUCGUCAGCUCGUGCCGUGAGGUGUUAGGUUAAGUCCUGCAACGAGCGCAACCCCUGUCACUAGUUGCCAUCAUUAAGUUGGGGACUCUAGUGAGACUGCCUACGCAAGUAGAGAGGAAGGUGGGGAUGACGUCAAAUCAUCACGGCCCUUACGCCUUGGGCCACACACGUAAUACAAUGGCCGGUACAGAGGGCAGCUACACUGCGAAGUGAUGCAAAUCUCGAAAGCCGGUCUCAGUUCGGAUUGGAGUCUGCAACUCGACUCUAUGAAGCUGGAAUCGCUAGUAAUCGCGCAUCAGCCAUGGCGCGGUGAAUACGUUCCCGGGCCUUGUACACACCGCCCGUCAAGCCAUGGAAGUCUGGGGUACCUGAAGUCGGUGACCGUAACAGGAGC
rnacentral:rRNA from 1 species